UACGGAGGGUGCAAGCGUUGUUCGGAAUUAUUGGGCGUAAAGGGCGCGUAGGCGGUAAUGCAAGUCAGAUGUGAAAUACUCCGGCUCAACCAGAGAAUUGCAUCUGAAACUGCAUAACUAGAGUACAGAAGAGGGAAACGGAAUUCCCGGUGUAGAGGUGAAAUUCGUAGAUAUCGGGAGGAACACCAGUGGCGAAGGCGGUUUCCUGGUCUGAUACUGACGCUGAGGCGCGAAAGUGUGGGGAGCAAAC
rnacentral:rRNA from 1 species